UCUGUUGUUAGGGAAGAACAAGUGCUAGUUGAAUAAGCUGGCACCUUGACGGUACCUAACCAGAAAGCCACGGCUAACUACGUGCCAGCAGCCGCGGUAAUACGUAGGUGGCAAGCGUUAUCCGGAAUUAUUGGGCGUAAAGCGCGCGCAGGUGGUUUCUUAAGUCUGAUGUGAAAGCCCACGGCUCAACCGUGGAGGGUCAUUGGAAACUGGGAGACUUGAGUGCAGAAGAGGAAAGUGGAAUUCCAUGUGUAGCGGUGAAAUGCGUAGAGAUAUGGAGGAACACCAGUGGCGAAGGCGACUUUCUGGUCUGUAACUGACACUGAGGCGCGAAAGCGUGGGGAGCAAACAGGAUUAGAUACCCUGGUAGUCCACGCCGUAAACGAUGANUGCUAA
rnacentral:rRNA from 1 species